AUCCUCCAAGGCUAAAUACUCCUGACUGACCGAUAGUGAACCAGUACCGUGAGGGAAAGGCGAAAAGAACCCCGGCGAGGGGAGUGAAAAAGAACCUGAAACCGUGUACGUACAAGCAGUGGGAGCACGCUUAGGCGUGUGACUGCGUACCUUUUGUAUAAUGGGUCAGCGACUUAUAUUCUGUAGCAAGGUUAACCGAAUAGGGGAGCCGAAGGGAAACCGAGUCUUAACUGGGCGUUAAGUUGCAGGGUAUAGACCCGAAACCCGGUGAUCUAGCCAUGGGCAGGUUGAAGGUUGGGUAACACUAACUGGAGGACCGAACCGACUAAUGUUGAAAAAUUAGCGGAUGACUUGUGGCUGGGGGUGAAAGGCCAAUCAAACCGGGAGAUAGCUGGUUCUCCCCGAAAGCUAUUUAGGUAGCGCCUCGUGAAUUCAUCUCCGGGGGUAGAGCACUGUUUCGGCAAGGGGGUCAUCCCGACUUACCAACCCGAUGCAAACUGCGAAUACCGGAGAAUGUUAUCACGGGAGACACACGGCGGGUGCUAACGUCCGUCGUGAAGAGGGAAACAACCCAGACCGCCAGCUAAGGUCCCAAAGUCAUGGUUAAGUGGGAAACGAUGUGGGAAGGCCCAGACAGCCAGGAUGUUGGCUUAGAAGCAGCCAUCAUUUAAAGAAAGCGUAAUAGCUCACUGGUCGAGUCGGCCUGCGCGGAAGAUGUAACGGGGCUAAACCAUGCACCGAAGCUGCGGCAGCGACGCUGAUGCGUUGUUGGGUAGGGGAGCGUUCUGUAAGCCUGUGAAGGUGUGCUGUGAGGCAUGCUGGAGGUAUCAGAAGUGCGAAUGCUGACAUAAGUAACGAUAAAGCGGGUGAAAAGCCCGCUCGCCGGAAGACCAAGGGUUCCUGUCCAACGUUAAUCGGGGCAGGGUGAGUCGACCCCUAAGGCGAGGCCGAAAGGCGUAGUCGAUGGGAAACAGGUUAAUAUUCCUGUACUUGGUGUUACUGCGAAGGGGGGACGGAGAAGGCUAUGUUGGCCGGGCGACGGUUGUCCCGGUUUAAGCGUGUAGGCUGGUUUUCCAGGCAAAUCCGGAAAAUCAAGGCUGAGGCGUGAUGACGAGGCACUACGGUGCUGAAGCAACAAAUGCCCUGCUUCCAGGAAAAGCCUCUAAGCAUCAGGUAACAUCAAAUCGUACCCCAAACCGACACAGGUGGUCAGGUAGAGAAUACCAAGGCGCUUGAGAGAACUCGGGUGAAGGAACUAGGCAAAAUGGUGCCGUAACUUCGGGAGAAGGCACGCUGAUAUGUAGGUGAAGCGACUUGCUCGUGGAGCUGAAAUCAGUCGAAGAUACCAGCUGGCUGCAACUGUUUAUUAAAAACACAGCACUGUGCAAACACGAAAGUGGACGUAUACGGUGUGACGCCUGCCCGGUGCCGGAAGGUUAAUUGAUGGGGUCAGCGCAAGCGAAGCUCUUGAUCGAAGCCCCGGUAAACGGCGGCCGUAACUAUAACGGUCCUAAGGUAGCGAAAUUCCUUGUCGGGUAAGUUCCGACCUGCACGAAUGGCGUAAUGAUGGCCAGGCUGUCUCCACCCGAGACUCAGUGAAAUUGAACUCGCUGUGAAGAUGCAGUGUACCCGCGGCAAGACGGAAAGACCCCGUGAACCUUUACUAUAGCUUGACACUGAACAUUGAGCCUUGAUGUGUAGGAUAGGUGGGAGGCUUUGAAGUGUGG
rnacentral:rRNA from 1 species